GUCACUACUCUGCAUUCUUGCUUUCUCGGGACAAUUGUCCACUGCUGACAAUUGAAUCAAGGGUUUCUUCAAAAUUGGGGUGGGAUGCUAUCUAUGUAUACCUGUGAAUUUCAGGCUGCAAAACAAAGGUCUGUGCUAAGGCUAAGUCGUUUGUGGAAAAUAGAAACAUAAAAUAGUAUUUUAUAACAAACAUACUAGGUGAGUCCGGGAUUGGACACACCAAGGGUGGCUGGACGUUUGAGGGGUUUUACCCCCCCCCCCCUGGUCGCUACGUCCCUGACAACCAUUCCUUGCAAAGAUAUAAUGACUUAAAUUUCUAAUAAUCCGCCGUUUUGUUCUAUUUUUACUUUUUUUAGUAGCAAUAUGGCGGAUUUUUCGACACAAAUAUCGCUAUAUCAUCCCAUAAAAUGGUCCUAUUUAGAAACAGAUUUCAGUUUUAAAGUACCCUUAUAGUCUACUCUUCUAAAUGGAUUUAUAAAAUCACAAAUAGCUUAUUUUUAAUUUUUUGGCGCCAAGUUUGUGACGUAAUUUACCCGCCAAAAAGUAGCAAUUCCAAAAACAAAGAACAUACCAUUUGUAGGAAUGAUAUGUUCUAUAUUCAUGGAAAAUUUGGUAGAAACAGGAUGACAAUUCAGAAGUUCAAGCAUAUUGGUGCUUUUGCAUGCAUUUUCACAUGCAUGUUGUAGCCUUCUUUUAUGUAUUCCAUCAUCACACUUUGCAUGCUCAAUGUUUAAGGUUUGAGACUUUUUGAAGGAAAACCUUUUUUGAAUUAACUGUAUAACAAACUUUAUCACACACAUUAACAUAAAAACAGUAUCUCACUGAUAUCGGUUUUUGUCAUUGAUAUCAGUUUAUGUCCCUCUACUUUAAUAAUUUUUGCAUUGGGGUAAUGAGUAAUAUUCUUAGACUAAUAAAUUCUGACCCUGAUAGUGGCACAAGUAUAUAGUAAACAAAGUUAUCAUAAUCGGGACAUGGUGACAUCAAUUUUAUUGUUUGGUUGCAAUAUUAUUGGUUCUGGCCAAGGUGGAUUCUUAUGGUGAUAUCUCCGAAAUUAAUGAUAGGAUAUCCAAAAUGCAAGAUAAUUGAAACAAAUAUAUUUGUGAAUUUGUGCAUGUCUGCACAUAUUAGCUAUUUAGUUAAUUAAUGUUUUUGUGCAUAAUUUAUGUGUAAGCAAGCGUCUACAGGGAAGAUAGUUUUAAAUUUUUAUAAUAUUCGGCAUCAGUUUUUCUCCAUCUUUACUUAAUUUUUUGGACUUAUCAUAUGCUCAUUUACUAAUAUUUAACCUAGAUUAGCUUAUUCUAUUUGGGGGGGUUAAUCAAUGUAAACAUCCUAUAUCAAUAAUAAAGAUAUGCUCUGUUGUGUUCUGUUCUGCUUAUCGAGAAAUGAAGUUGAUUAAAACAAAAAGGAAUUUGUGUCCUGUUAACGUUGUUGGCACUAAAUCGCAAUAAAAUAAUUAAUGAAAGAGUUUCAAAUGAAAUAGGCUGGGAAGACUCCAUAAAGGCGAUUUCCGACGAUCUAGAGACUCCAUAUUUUCAAAUCUCCCCAAAUGCCACGGACGUUUUUCCCCCCAAAGUUGGCAACUAUCAGUAUGGGUUCAUUGGAAAAGUAAAAAAAAAUCCCGAGGAGAACACUGGGUAUUUGUCAAUGGGGGGUCGAAGCAAACUUGGAAAUUUCCAAGAGGUUUCUGAAAAAUUAAACAAAUUCUGAGGGGGUUAGGAAAGAACAAAAAUUUUCCCGAGGAUUUCUCGUUAUGGAACUUCGUCAACAGAUCUGUAUUGCUGAGGGGGUUGAGAAAAAUUCUGAGGGGGUUCUGGGUGUCGAUUAAAAACCAAUUUGCAAGGGGUUCUAAAAUCAGAAAACGAGAGGGUGUGGAUAUUAAAUGGAAUUCCCCCAUAUUAAAUACGACUAAUCUUAAAUUAGCGAAAGUAAACUUGAUUUUGACGUAUAUGGUUACGAAUGAAAGUCAGAAAUGCUCAAAUGUUCUGGUGAGAAUUUUCUUCGUAUAAGCAGUACUGCAUCUGAGCUAAAUACAAAAACUGUUGCUUGAAAUUGAAAUGAAAACAUGUAAAGAAACCUUUACCAACUGGUUUCGCGUGAAGUGCAUGAGUGCGUUUUUCUUUCGUCCGCAAAAUAAAGAUGUUUAUAAAUGAUGAAAUUAAGAAUUCAUUGUACUACAAUUUGCUGGUCAAAAUUUGAGCUAAAUUGCUUAUUUUAAUAAUUCAGUUCUUGCGAAUAACCCAUGCAAUGUGUCUUGUAACUUUAGAAAUGUCCAUGAAACAUUUAUGCACCAUAGAACUAAUAAAAGUAGUGUGAUGCAAACGAUAUAGUAGUGUUCAUUGCAAUAUUUAUAGUAAGCAAACAGCUCAUGUAUUUGGUGCAUGACUAAUUAAAUAUAUUAUUUUGCAGUUUCUUCAACAGUACCGUCAUUAUCAAUCUAACCUUGAGAUAUUCAAGAUGAAUCCAUCACUUUCUAAUGAAGUUUUUCAAGACCUUGUUAGGUUUCUAAGUCAGGUAUAUGUGCCGAUAUUUACAUUGAACUCGUUCUUUGGG